rnacentral:tRNA from 1 species
GCCUGGGUGGCUCAGUCGGUUAAGCGUCUGACUUCGGCUCAGGUCAUGAUCUCACAGCUUGUGGGUUGGAGCCCCGCAUCAGGUU